AAGGUGAAAAGAACCCCGACGAGGGGAGUGAAAUAGAUCCUGAAAUUGAAUGCUUACAAGCUGUCGAAGCCCGCAAGGGUGACGGCGUACCUUUUGUAUAAUGGGUCAGCGAGUUAGUUUAAAGUGCAAGCUUAAGCCGUAAGGUGUAGGCGAAGCGAAAGCGAGUCUGAAUAGGGCGAUAGUACUUUGGAUUAAACCCGAAACCGAGUGAUCUAGCCAUGAGCAGGUUGAAGAUAAGGUAACACUUAUUGGAGGACCGAACCAGUUGACGUUGAAAAGUCUUUGGAUGACUUGUGGUUAGGGGUGAAAGGCCAAUCAAACUCGGAUAUAGCUGGUUCUCCGCGAAAACUAUUUAGGUAGUGCGUCAUACGAAUUCCAUCGGGGGUAAAGCACUGGAUGGGCAAGGGGGGAGAGAUCCUUACUAAGUCCAACCAAACUCUGAAUACCGAUGAGAAAUAUAUGGCAGACAGACUAUGGGUGCUAAGGUCCAUAGUCGAAAGGAAAACAGUCCAGACCAACAGCUAAGGUCCCCAAGUUAUUGUUAAGUGGGAAAGGAUGUCGGACGACCAAAACAGCCAGGAGGUUGGCUUAGAAGCAGCCAUCCUUUAAAGAAAGCGUAACAGCUCACUGGUCUAAUUAAGUUGUCCGGCGCCGAAGAUGUAACGGGGCUAAACAAUACACCGAAGCUUUGGACACAAUUUAUUGUGUGGUAGCGGAGCGUUCCGUACGUUGUUGAAGGGAGACUCGUGAGAGCUCCUGGAGAUAUCGGAAGUGAGAAUGCUGACAUGAGUAGCGACAAAAAGAGUGAGAAACUCUUUCGCCGAAAAUCCAAGGGUUCCUGCGCAAGGCUAAUCCGCGCAGGUUGAGUCGGCUCCUAAGACGAGGACGAAAGUCGUAGUCGAUGGGAAACAGGUUAAUAUUCCUGUACCGGAUGAGAUGUGACGGAUGACGUAAAUUGUAUUUCCUUAUAAGGAUUGGAAAUGCAGUGAAGUUGUUCCAGGAAAUAGCCUCAUCAUUGAGACCGUACCCGAAACCGACACAGGUGGAUAGGUAGAAGAUACCAAGGCGCUUGAGAGAACUAUGCUGAAGGAACUCGGCAAAAUACCUCUGUAACUUCGGGAGAAGGAGGACCUAUGUUUGGGCAACCAGAUGUGGGUGGCACAGAAAUGGGGGUAGCAACUGUUUAUUAAAAACACAGGACUCUGCAAAGCCGCAAGGCGAAGUAUAGGGUCUGACGCCUGCCCGGUGCCGGAAGAUUAAAGUGAGUGGUGCAAGCUACAAACUGAAGUCCCGGUGAACGGCGGCCGUAACUAUAACGGUCCUAAGGUAGCGAAAUUCCUUGUCGGGUAAGUUCCGACCUGCACGAAUGGCGUAAUGAUUUCCCCGCUGUCUCCAGCAUAGACUCAGCGAAAUUGAAUUCUCCGUGAAGAUGCGGAGUACCCGCGGUUAGACGGAAAGACCCCGUGCACCUUUACUAUAGCUUUACAUUGGUGUUAGAAAUUGCAUGUGUAGGAUAGGUGGUAGACUUUGAAGUAAGGGCGCCAGCUCUUAUGGAGUCGUCCUUGAAAUACCACUCUUGUAAUUUUUGAUAUCUAACUGAGGUCCAUUAUCUGGAUCCAAGACAGUGUAUGGUGGGUAGUUUGACUGGGGCGGUCGCCUCCCAAAAAGUAACGGAGGCGUGCGAAGGUAGGCUCAAGCUGGUCGGAAAUCAGCUGUUGAGUGCAAUGGCAUAAGCCUGCCUGACUGCAAGACUGACAAGUCGAGCAGAGUCGAAAGACGGUCAUAGUGAUCCGGUGGUUCUGAGUGGAAGGGCCAUCGCUCAACGGAUAAAAGGUACGCCGGGGAUAACAGGCUGAUACCGCCCAAGAGUUCAUAUCGACGGCGGUGUUUGGCACCUCGAUGUCGGCUCAUCACAUCCUGGGGCUGGAGCAGGUCCCAAGGGUUCGGCUGUUCGCCGAUUAAAGUGGUACGCGAGCUGGGUUUAGAACGUCGUGAGACAGUUCGGUCCCUAUCUGCCGUGGGUGUUGAAGAAUUGAGAGGAGUUACUCCUAGUACGAGAGGACCGGAGUGAACGUACCUAUG
rnacentral:rRNA from 1 species